UACGUAGGUGGCAAGCGUUGUUCGGAAUUACUGGGCGUAAAGGGCUCGUAGGCGGCCAACUAAGUCGGAUGUGAAAUCCCCAGGCUUAACCUGGGAACUGCAUCCGAUACUGGAUGGCUUGAAUCCGGGAGAGGGAUGCAGAAUUCCAGGUGUAGCGGUGAAAUGCGUAGAUAUCCUGAGGAACACCGGUGGCGAAAGCGGCGCGCUGGAUCCCUUCUGACGCUGAGGCGCGAAAGCCAGGGGAGCAAAGCGGG
rnacentral:rRNA from 1 species